rnacentral:rRNA from 1 species
UACGGGGGGGGCAAGCGUUGUUCGGAAUUACUGGGCGUAAAGCGUGCGCAGGCGGUUUUGUAAGUUUGUCGUGAAAGCCCCGGGCUCAACCUGGGAAUUGCGAUGGAGACUGCAAGGCUUGAAUCUGGCAGAGGGGGGUAGAAUUCCACGUGUAGCAGUGAAAUGCGUAGAGAUGCGGAGGAACACCGAUGGCGAAGGCAGCCCCCUGGGUCAAGAUUGACGCUCAUGCACGAAAGCGUGGGGAGCAAACAGG